GACAGAGGUGGCAAGCGUUGUUCGGAAUUACUGGGCGUAAAGCGCGCGUAGGCGGCCAUCUAAGUCAGACGUGAAAUCCCCCGGCUUAACCUGGGAACUGCGUCUGAUACUGGAAGGCUUGAGUAUGGGAGAGGGAUGUAGAAUUCCAGGUGUAGCGGUGAAAUGCGUAGAUAUCUGGAGGAAUACCGGUGGCGAAGGCGGCAUCCUGGACCAUUACUGACGCUGAGGCGCGAAAGCUAGGGGAGCAAACGGG
rnacentral:rRNA from 1 species